CCAUCAACAAUAUAGUGCGUACUCUCCUACAUUCUUCCAUGUCUUCUGUCUACUAGGCCGAAGCUCUCACCACAACCACCUAUCUUCUUAAUCGCCACCCAUACUUCUCCAUAUACAAUGAGAUCCCUUCACUUGCCUCUUGGUCAGCAACCUGAUAUUUUUAUCUUUGUGUCUUCGAGUGCCUCUACUACCAGAACCGC
rnacentral:lncRNA from 1 species